UAGCUGAGCAAAGGUUUUAUGUAAGCCACAUGCUUACAUGUGAAACAUGCUAUAUUGUGAAACAGGGCUUUUCUCCCCCAUUCUUGCUGUGCCCACAGUGAUAUGGCUAACAAAAGCUGUUGUCUUCUGAAAAGGAAAAUCGUAUUUCUGAAUUGUUUCCAACGGCCCGGGUUGCUCUUUUGGUUUCUAACUAAACUCACUGCAUCAUAAGAAAUCCCCUUCACGAUUUGUCUGCUUCCCCCACCAAAGUCCUUGUGAAUCAUCCACAAGGGAACAACACAACGCCGCUACCGUGCUGAGUGUAGCAGCUGCCAGGCUGCUCUCCUCGUCUGCUGCAAGAUGAUGCCCAACAUGAGCAUUCAACAGCUUUUGUGGGUCGUUAAUAGGACUUUCAAAAAUUUUUGGCCUUUUUUUCAUCCCAGUUGAUUCAACAAGAUAUGCCACUAUGGUUUUGCAAAAGAGGCUUCCAGAAACUUUUUCACAGCAGGGUUGCCUAUGACAAGAAGCGAAAAAAAGUCUUUGGAAAUCAGAGAACUUAUUCUGCUGUGCAAUCUGUGUAGGAAAAAGUUCACUUGCCACUUUUUUUGCUUGGCUCUGCCAGUGCAGAUUCAACAUCUUUCAACUUCGAUUCCUGUGAAGCACUCUCUAAAUAUUUGUCACAGUCUGCUUUUGCUUGAAACCUACGGAGCAGAGCAAGCUGUGCAACAGAGCAUGCCAGCAUGCUUGUGAAAAAUCCCUUCUGGAUGCCUGUCACUGCUCUGCUUAGCACUUUGCACUCUCUCUCUAGCCAUCUUCUUGACCUUGUGUUUACCUCCGUGGCACUUACCCACUUCCUCGCUCAUCUGCAGAUCCCGUUGGCUGGCUAAAACAGUGCUGCACACACAGCAAUCUGUCAGCUAGACCGUAACCCCACUGAGGAAGAGAUAUGCUGAUUUCAUCUGACAUUGGCACAUGAAUUUGAUUAAAUUAUCAAAGAAAGAAUCUAUUGAUGUAGGUGUUUUCGUAGUCGUUUGCACGACUUCCAAGAUGUUGCUCAAAUGGAUGUUUUUUUCUGACCACUGUAAGAAAAUCUUGGGUUUGAUCAUGGAGGAGGAGUGUUACCCAUGGUGUAACAGUGGUGCUUGGUAUGAAGAGUUGUGUAACUGAUGUGUCAAUGAUCCACAGCUGAUGUUUUGCUAACCACCCAUCUGGCCUCUAAGCUACUCUGGCUGCUGCUGUCAUAUCACCAGCAACCACUGAGUCUCCUCUCUCACCUGCAGCUGGAUCAAGCCGAAGACCAAAGAGGGGCUAAAAGUGAUCUGGGUUACUGUUUCUGUAAGGACUUUCUUCUAGGCUGUGUUGGGCCACAAAGUACUGUCUUGUCCCUGGAGAAACAGGAAUUGAAGUGAAAGGUUAUAAUGCCAACCUGUAAUGCUCAAAAACUGCAGGAGGACAAGACAUAUUCCUGAAGAUCUGUCAGAAAAGAAAAUAAAACUGAGAGCUGUUCUGGCUGGUACGUGGUGUGCCUCUGCCUUCAGGUAGAACCGUGCUGGUUUCAGUUUCAUCAGUAUAUUCUCCUCACAGCCCAGGUAGCUAUCAGUUUUCCAGGGAAACAAGGGAAAAGAAGAUGAAAUAGUUGUCAAGCAUUGCAUUGUACUGUGCCAUGAAUUUUCCUUUCUAAGGACUGAAGGGAAAUCACUGAAUUAUAUCAUAACUGUCAAGUGUCCUGUUUUUAGCUUGUUGCUCAAACACAAUAAAAUUAUUUAAUAUACAAAAGCUAUCAUGCGAAGCCAGUCAAUUUUUCCUUCAGUGAUAUAUAAAGGA